rnacentral:rRNA from 1 species
UCAGUCGACUCCUACGGGAGCAGCAGUGGGGAAUAGUUGCACAAUGGGCGCAAGCCUGAUGCAGCAACGCCGUGUGAGUGAAGAAGGUUUUCGGAUCGUAAAACUCUGUCCUAAGGGAAGAAACAAAUGACGGUACCUUAGGAGGAAGCCCCGGCUAACUACGUGCCAGCAGCCGCGGUAAUACGUAGGGGCAAGCGUUAUCCGGAAUCACUGGGCGUAAAGGGUGCGUAGGCGGCUUAGCAAGCCAGGGGUGAAAGGCAUUGGCUCAACCAAUGUAAGCCUUUGGAACUGUUAGGCUUGAGUGCAGGAGAGGUAAGUGGAAUUCCUAGUGUAGAGGUGAAAUUCGUAGAUAUUAGGAGGAACACCAGUGGCGAAGGCGACUUACUGGACUGUAACUGACGCUGAUGCACGAAAGCGUGGGUAGCGAACAGGAUUAGAUACCCUGGUAG